rnacentral:rRNA from 1 species
GACGAACGCUGGCGGCGUGCCUAAUACAUGCAAGUAGAACGCAGUUGCGAACGGGUGAGUAACGCGUAGGUAACUGCCUCAUAGCGGGGGAUCAGUAUUGGAAACGAUAGCUAAUACCGCAUACUGUGCGAUGGACCUGCGUUGUAUUAGCUAGUUGGUGGGGUAAAGGCUCACCAAGGCGACGAUACAUAGCCGACCUGAGAGGGGGAUCGGCCAAAAGGGUACUGAGACACGGCCCAGAAUCCUACGGGAGGCAGCAGGAGGGAAUCUUCGGGAAUGGACGGAAGUCUGAACGAGCAACGCCGCGUGAGUGAAGAAGGUUUUCGGAGCGUAAAGCUCUGUUGUUAGAGAAGCGAUAACUACCCAGAAAGGGACGGCUAACUACGUGCCAGCAGCCGCGGUAAUUC